UGCAAGUCGAACGGAAAGGCCCCUUCGGGGGUACUCGAGUGGCGAACGGGUGAGUAACACGUGGGUAAUCUGCCCUGCACUUCGGGAUAAGCCUGGGAAACUGGGUCUAAUACCGGAUAGGACCACUUGGCGCAUGCCUUGUGGUGGAAAGCUUUUGCGGUGUGGGAUGGGCCCGCGGCCUAUCAGCUUGUUGGUGGGGUGACGGCCUACCAAGGCGACGACGGGUAGCCGGCCUGAGAGGGUGUCCGGCCACACUGGGACUGAGAUACGGCCCAGACUCCUACGGGAGGCAGCAGUGGGGAAUAUUGCACAAUGGGCGCAAGCCUGAUGCAGCGACGCCGCGUGGGGGAUGACGGCCUUCGGGUUGUAAACCUCUUUCAGCAGGGACGAAGCGCAAGUGACGGUACCUGCAGAAGAAGCACCGGCCAACUACGUGCCAGCAGCCGCGGUAAUACGUAGGGUGCGAGCGUUGUCCGGAAUUACUGGGCGUAAAGAGCUCGUAGGUGGUUUGUCGCGUUGUUCGUGAAAACCGGGGGCUUAACCCUCGGCGUGCGGGCGAUACGGGCAGACUGGAGUACUGCAGGGGAGACUGGAAUUCCUGGUGUAGCGGUGGAAUGCGCAGAUAUCAGGAGGAACACCGGUGGCGAAGGCGGGUCUCUGGGCAGUAACUGACGCUGAGGAGCGAAAGCGUGGGGAGCGAACAGGAUUAGAUACCCUGGUAGUCCACGCCGUAAACGGUGGGUACUAGGUGUGGGUUUCCUUCCUUGGAAUCCGUGCCGUAGCUAACGCAUUAAGUACCCCGCCUGGGGAGUACGGCCGCAAGGCUAAAACUCAAAGGAAUUGACGGGGGCCCGCACAAGCGGCGGAGCAUGUGGAUUAAUUCGAUGCAACGCGAAGAACCUUACCUGGGUUUGACAUGCACAGGACGCCGGCAGAGAUGUCGGUUCCCUUGUGGCCUGUGUGCAGGUGGUGCAUGGCUGUCGUCAGCUCGUGUCGUGAGAUGUUGGGUUAAGUCCCGCAACGAGCGCAACCCUUGUCUCAUGUUGCCAGCGGGUAAUGCCGGGGACUCGUGAGAGACUGCCGGGGUCAACUCGGAGGAAGGUGGGGAUGACGUCAAGUCAUCAUGCCCCUUAUGUCCAGGGCUUCACACAUGCUACAAUGGCCGGUACAAAGGGCUGCGAUGCCGCAAGGUUAAGCGAAUCCUUUUAAAGCCGGUCUCAGUUCGGAUCGGGGUCUGCAACUCGACCCCGUGAAGUCGGAGUCGCUAGUAAUCGCAGAUCAGCAACGCUGCGGUGAAUACGUUCCCGGGCCUUGUACACACCGCCCGUCACGUCAUGAAAGUCGGUAACACCCGAAGCCAGUGGCCUAACCUUUUGGAGGGAGCUGUCGAAGGUGGGAUCGGCGAUUGGGACGAAGUCG
rnacentral:rRNA from 1 species